rnacentral:rRNA from 1 species
AUUGAACGCUGGCGGCAGGCCUAACACAUGCAAGUCGAGCGGAUGAAGGGAGCUUGCUCCUGGAUUCAGCGGCGGACGGGUGAGUAAUGCCUAGGAAUCUGCCCGGUAGUGGGGGAUAACGUCCGGAAACGGGCGCUAAUACCGCAUACGUCCUGAGGGAGAAAGUGGGGGAUCUUCGGACCUCACGCUAUCAGAUGAGCCUAGGUCGGAUUAGCUAGUUGGUGGGGUAAAGGCCUACCAAGGCGACGAUCCGUAACUGGUCUGAGAGGAUGAUCAGUCACACUGGAACUGAGACACGGUCCAGACUCCUACGGGAGGCAGCAGUGGGGAAUAUUGGACAAAGGGCGAAAGCCUGAUCCAGCCAUGCCGCGUGUGUGAAGAAGGUCUUCGGAUUGUAAAGCACUUUAAGUUGGGAGGAAGGGCAGUAAGUUAAUACCUUGCUGUUUUGACGUUACCAACAGAAUAAGCACCGGCUAACUUCGUG